rnacentral:rRNA from 1 species
CAUUGUGAACCUUACCUACUGUCGUUGCUUCGGCGGCUCUCCCCUCGGGGUGUGGUCGCCGACAGCACCUAAACUCUUUAUUAUAUUUUCUAGCGUCUCUUCUGAGUGAUUAAAAAGAUUAAACAAUCAAAACUUUCAACAACGGAUCUCUUGGCUGUGGCAUCGAUGAAGAACGCAGCGAAAUGCGAUAACUAAUGUGAAUUGCAGAAUUCAGUGAAUCAUCGAGUCUUUGAACGCACAUUGCGCCCGCUGGUAUUCCGGCGGGCAUGCCUGUCCGAGCGUCAUUUCGUCCCUCAAGCCCUAGCGCUUGGUGUUGGGCAGUUUCCCGCGCUUCCCCUUUUGGUGGAAAGAACGGGACGCCCCAAAUGCAUCGGCGGUCCCGCUUGGCGGCUCCCUGCGUAGUAGAAUCUCUUCUCGCAUUGGGCCUCGAGCGCGCGUCCGGCCGCAAAACCCCCCAACCUUUGUGUACCAACGGUUGACCUCGGAUCAGGUAGGGAUACCCGCUGAACUUAAGCAUAUCAU